UGACCGCCACAGCUCCGAGGUGCCCCGAGGUCGCGAGACCGACGGGAGAAUCUGGGAAGCCGGUGAGAGUCCGGCACAGGCCCGCUGCGGUGACCCGGGCGAUGCGCGAGCGUCGACCCGGGAAGUCCGAAGACCGGCCUCGGGGUUCCUUUCCGA
rnacentral:ncRNA from 2 species